CACGGUUCCUAGAUGGCCUUCGGAAGCAGCCAUCAUCAGGGGAGUGCGGCCCUGCUUGUCUGCCAUGUUGACAUCAGCUCCAUGGGCCAGAUGUAGAAGAUCCAAUGGAGAAUUCUGAGGCCCAAGGUGAUUUUAGAACUACUACACGGAAGGAGCCUGCCCAGACAUCUGCACUGUACUGUGAUGUAAGGAGAAAUAAAUCUUUGUUAAGUCAUUGA
rnacentral:lncRNA from 1 species